rnacentral:tRNA from 1 species
GUCGGUGUAGCUCACGUUGGUCGAGCAGCCGCCUUGUAAGCGGCAGGACGCGGGUUCGAUUCCUGUCACCGGCU